rnacentral:snoRNA from 1 species
GUACAUGUGGUGUCACCAAGCAGGAUGAGGAGCUGUGAUGCUGUAAACAGUUUCUGAUGUG